UACAGAGGGUGCGAGCGUUGUUCGGAAUUAUUGGGCGUAAAGGGCGCGUAGGCGGUGCGGUAAGUCACCUGUGAAAUCUCCUGCUCAACUGGGAGCUUGCAGGCGAAACUGCCGUGCUGGAGUGUGGGAGAGGUGCGUGGAAUUCCUGGUGUAGCGGUGAAAUGCGUAGAUAUCAGGAGGAACACCUGUGGCGAAAGCGGCGCACUGGACCACAACUGACGCUGAGGCGCGAAAGCUAGGGGAGCAAACAGG
rnacentral:rRNA from 1 species